CAUGCCCGCACACACACAUACGGAGCUGCCAAAAAUCCCAGGCAUUUGGGCUCCAAAAGACAAACACCCUGUCGCCUUUAAGGAAAGUUUAAUUACCUACAAAUUAAUUUCUCGGAAAUCUUAGCCGCAAAUAGUUCAGCAGUAAUGAGAAAGAGAGAUUUCAAGAGUACUGACAACAUGCAGAAAAACAAAACCUGUGGAUUUUUGUAGGAGCUCUUCACUUUCUUGGUCCCAUUGGAAAACUCAACCCUAACUUUAUUCAUAAAUCAUGAAGGAAAACAUAGCUCUAAGCCACCUCCUAGCCACACAACAGUCAGUUCAUCAAAACAGGAGUGGGAUGCAAGCCGCCAGACAGCACAGAGGAAUUUACGCGAGAUUCCCCAACUUGGAGGACAGCCGACAAGGAGCCUGCACCUCCAGAAACAAAGACACAAGCUGCGCAAUGAGAAGCAAACACCUCCAUCUCUGUAUUAUCACAGCAGAAAUCAUUCAUCUGUUCUUCUCUGAGUAGAUUCUCUACCUCAAGCUAAGUGAAAAUGGAAGUGCAUCAAAACAGUAAAAAAUGGCAAUCUGAUUGAUGAGCAAAAAUGAUCAAAAAGCUGCUUCACAUGUCCUAGUGUUGAUGCAUACCUUCAGGAUCUGCUUUAAGAAAGUAUCAGAGCAACUGUACAUUGAAAAAAAAUAAACAAAACAGGUGGCUUUGAAAACAUCAGAAUAUGCAAUAUGUCUCACUUCUGCUGUAAGAGAUGGAGUUGGACUUGAUCUCAUCUCCACUGUUUUCAGUAAAUGAUCUAAUAACAGGGCAUUUCUCUCUUUCAAUGACACACAACAGAGUUAGUCAUGGUGUUAUUGCUACUAUUAUCUAAAGACAUCAGAGUAAAGUACAUAGAACAUGAUAAUGUAUCUCGUACAAGAAAAGGUCAUGCAGCAGUUCCACAAUUUGCUGAUCCUAAAUAUAUGUAGAAUUGUAUCACCCUGCAUUAUAAUCACAUUUCUGAUGUAUUGCCAGAGUGCAUGAUAGCAAGUUUAUGGUACAAUGCCAAUUACAUGACACUGUGGGAGAACAGACAACUGUUGAACCAGCAUAAAGUUAGAAUGGUACAGACAGAUGAUAUCUGAUUUGGUAUUAAGCAUAAGCCUGCUGGUAGGAAGUUAGCCAAUCAACAUUUUUUUCAACAAAACUGGAAGAUGAAUUUUAACCCAAUCAAUGAUAAAGUGCAAUGCAGUCACAGAACUUGCUCUCUUGUAUUUAUGAACCAUAGAGCUGCAUUUACUGCAUCACUGAAUGACAGCCCAGGAGAGCUGGGGAAUAUGCAUGGAAUUUAGCCAGGCAAGCCUUUCUUCUCAUCCAAAAUAUACACAGGAACCUUAAAUGAAUGAGCUCUGAAUUAAACUGAGCUGUAUUAAUUAUACAUAGGCUAACAAAAGGUAGUUAGCACUUGCAGAGCAAGAGGUAGUGUAAGCAAGGAGUAAGAACCCAGAAAGAGAGAAGAACAAGGAAUCAGCAGGUUGGAACACUGAAGGAUUAUCUUAGUCAGGUGUAGAUUAUGGGAAAAUAAUAUACGAAAACGUCUCUACGAAGGUCAUGAUUUGGGGUAUGAGUGACAUUUGUCUGUCUCCGAGGCAGAACUUCCUGUUUUGCAGACCCAGUUAUACAACAGAUUUUAUUUCCUUUGCAGAAGAAGUUAUCACAGUAAAUGGUUCUUAUUGAUUGAUGGAGACAGGAUCCAUCAUUAAAAUGGAUCGAAAAUUAGAUAUUGUUUCUCUAAGAUUCCAAAAGUGGAGUUUCUGUGAAAAAGAAAUUGGGGGGGGGGGGGGGGAGGGAGAAAUCAAAAUCAAUCUGUUGCCAUUACAGAACAAUACCAAUUAAAGCUGGAUUUAACUAAUUCUAAAAUAUUAUUGACUACAUUGGCACAAAGUAAUGUCAACCCACAUCACCAAUUAAGAAUAGGGAAAAUAACUGCAAGACUUGAAUGAAGUAUACAGAGAUAAUUAAUCCUCUAAUUAGGAUGCUAAAAUUAGUUCAGGAAUUGAAGGGUGAAUGCUUUCAUCUGCACUUAUCUAUGCAAGAGUUUCCAUCUUUCACUUUUUAAGAAAUGAUUCAUCUUUUCCAUUCUGGUGUAUCAGUGCAUUUUUUUCCACUGGUGUAUGUCUAGGAUUGUAAAUCAUAUGUGAAAGCCUGCUUCUGAGAAAUUUCCUGGUUUGGUUUAGGAAUUUACCCACUCAGAUAAACUGGACAAGCAGACACAUCACAAAGGUGCCUUGGAUCUUCUGGAUUUAGCACUGAAUUGAGAGCUUCCUGAACUCAUGAGGACUUUAAAGCUUCUUAGGAUAUAUUUGAAGGUAUGAAUCUGUAUGAAGAAGUGUUAGCUUUCUAGAAACAACUGUUAUGCAGAAGUCUUGCACAUGGAAGCUUGCUCCGCCCCAGAUGUCCUCUGCCAAAGACAGAAGUUCACUAUUGAGACUAGUGGGCAUAAUCAAUAUUUUGCUGCUCUUAAAAAAAAUAAAAUAAUGAAAUAUGAACCCAGGCCUUGAAAGCCUCCAGAAUUAAUCAACAGUAGAUCCAGUAAAGUGAGUGAGUUGAGGCUAGAAGUACCACCAUGUUGAUGGAGAAGGAUGAGGGUGAGGAGAAAACAGAAAGGAAAGAGAUUAAACCAACCAGAGUAACCUGCUGUGACCUCAUCACAGUUGUGCACUGGGGAAAGAGGUUUCAACUUGAUUUUACCUGCCCCCAUGCAGGGGCACAGUGAGCCCAUUUUUCAGUCAAGGAGAAGAGAUGGGGAUUUGUUGCAUCUUUUUUUUUGGGAAAACCACGCUAAAUAUUCCAAACUUCAAACUUGCCAUGACAGAGCUUUGAUCAAGACAAAGUAAUAUUCAAAAUGCAGGGCGCACCACACAUUAAAGGAAGAUCUACUUCUAGUCCCUGCCACUGCCCUUCCGGGUGGCAAUGACCUGGCUGGUAUAUUAUAUUGGAUCACAUAGUAACCCAUGGCUUAGUGUUGUAAGCCAGAAGGUUGGUUGGUGUGAACUGGUCUAGAUGGUAACAUUUAGAUGGAAAAUGGCAGGACCACAAGCUAAAAUGGAGGAAAAGUAUACAUCACAGAAAAAUAGCAAGCUACUCAUGAGGCAGAGUGAUGGAGAGCAAGGGGAAAUGAAGAGCUAGCCUUGCUUCUUCAAACAAAAUCCAGGAAUAAAUGUGUCUCGGCUUUUAACUCUCACAAGUUUCAAUCACAUCUAUAGUUAUUCUCUAAAUUAGGUAAGACACCAGGAUCAGAUACAGUACAUUAAAAAAGAAACCCUGUAGAGAAAGGCAAAGCUUGUUCAUUCUCGUUACGGACCACUUAUAAGCUCUUUUUGCUGCUCACAUCAUUGUUAAGAGUUGGUUUAAUUUUUUAUUUUUUUUAAAGUUGCACGACUUUUAUUGGUGAAUAAAACAAGAACAGCAGGAUCCAACUUCUAUCUCCAUAACUCUUUCAUCUGCUUAGCUAACUGUAUUAGCCACUUUCUGUGAAUGGAGAACAGGGGAAAGUUCAACAGCAGACUGACAUAAUAACGAGGACACAAAAUAUAGAUGAAAAGAAUACAUGUCUAAAUGUCUGAUGAACUGAUAUUAGCAUAUAAAUGCAAUAUAUGUACAACAGCAGCCUUUGAAUUAAACCAUAAAGAA